rnacentral:tRNA from 1 species
GCGGCAGUAGCUCAGUGGUUGAGCCCUCGCUUUGUAAGCGGGAAUACCUGGGUUCGAUUCCCGGCUGCUUCC